rnacentral:rRNA from 1 species
UACGUAGGGUGCAAGCGUUAAUCGGAAUUACUGGGCGUAAAGCGUGCGCAGGCGGCUUUGCAAGACAGAUGUGAAAUCCCCGGGCUUAACCUGGGAAUGGCAUUUGGGACUGCAAGGCUUGAGUGCGGCAGAGGAGACUGGAAUUCCUGGUGUAGCAGUGAAAUGCGUAGAUAUCAAGCGGAACACCAGUGGCGAAGGCGAGUCCCCGGACAACUCCUGACACUGAGGCACGAAAGCUAGGGGAGCAAACAGG